UACGUAGGUGGCAAGCGUUGUCCGGAUUUACUGGGCGUAAAGAGCGCGCAGGCGGUCGUUCAAGUCGCGUGUGAAAGCCCCCGGCUCAACUGGGGAGGGUCACGCGAUACUGAUCGACUCGAAGGCAGGAGAGGGAAGUGGAAUUCCCGGUGUAGUGGUGAAAUGCGUAGAUAUCGGGAGGAACACCAGUGGCGAAGGCGACUUCCUGGCCUGUUCUUGACGCUGAGGCGCGAAAGCGUGGGGAGCGAACAGG
rnacentral:rRNA from 1 species